GAUGAACGCUGGCGGCGUGCUUAACACAUGCAAGUCGAACGAUGAAGCCCAGCUUGCUGGGUGGAUUAGUGGCGAACGGGUGAGUAACACGUGAGUAACCUGCCCUUAACUCUGGGAUAAGCCUGGGAAACUGGGUCUAAUACCGGAUAGGAGCGUCCACCGCAUGGUGGGUGUUGGAAAGAUUUAUCGGUUUUGGAUGGACUCGCGGCCUAUCAGCUUGUUGGUGAGGUAAUGGCUCACCAAGGCGACGACGGGUAGCCGGCCUGAGAGGGUGACCGGCCACACUGGGACUGAGACACGGCGCAGACUCCUACGGGAGGCAGCAGGGGAGAGUAUUGCACAAUGGGGGCGAGCCUGAGGCAGAGACGCCGCGUGAGGGAUGACGGCCUUCGGGUUGUAAACCUCUUUCAGUAGGGAAGAAGCGAAAGUGACGGUACCUGCAGAAGAAGCACCGGCUAACUACGUG
rnacentral:rRNA from 1 species